rnacentral:rRNA from 1 species
UACGUAGGGUGCAAGCGUUAAUCGGAAUUACUGGGCGUAAAACGUGCGCAGGCGGUUAUGUAAGACAGAUGUGAAAUGCCCGGGCUUAACCUGGGAACUGCAUUUGUGACUGCAUGGCUAGAAUCUGGCAGAGGGGGGUAGAAUUCCACGUGGUAGCAGUGAAAUGCGUAGAUAUGUGGAGGAAUACCGAUGGCGAAGGCAGCCCCCUGGGCUAAGAUUGACGCCUCAUGCACGAAAGCGUGGGGAGCAAACAGG